rnacentral:tRNA from 24 species
UGGGGUAUAGCCAAGCGGUAAGGCAGCGGGUUUUGAUCCCGUCAUUCUGAGGUUCAAAUCCUCAUACCCCAGCCA